AGCGAACGUUAGCGGCGGGCUUAACACAUGCAAGUCGAGCGAGAAAGCGUCCUUCGGGACGUGAGUACAGCGGCGAACGGGUGAGUAACGCGUGGGUAAUCUACCUCUUGGCGCGGGACAACGGUUCGAAAGGACCGCUAAUACCGCAUAAGUCGGCGACCACCACGGUGGUUCCCGGGAAAGGGCAGCCUCUGCUUGCAAGCUGUCGCCGAGAGAGGAACCCGCGUCCCAUCAGCUUGUUGGUAGGGUAACGGCCUACCAAGGCUUAGACGGGUAGCUGGUCUGAGAGGAUGAUCAGCCACACUGGGACUGAGACACGGCCCAG
rnacentral:rRNA from 1 species